ensembl:lncRNA
UGACAACUAAAAUCCCCUUGCAGGCCGUCCAUAUCAACCUACGGCAGGUCAGAGCGCGUAACCCCUCCAGAACCGCAAGCCCAGGCCCACACCCUUUCCCCUUGUCAACAUUGUCACUUUAAACAGAACAUCUAGCCUUAUCGCCCAACCUGGAAAUUGACAGUGCAGGAGAAACCGACACCAGUGAGCAGCAUCUGUGCAGCACAUCUCCUCCUCUCUCUCGGUUUACAGUAUGAAUUCAGAAUGUCAAAGCUCAUUUUCUCAUCAGCCUCAGAUGCUGUUAAAGCACUGCAAACUUGACUUCUCUUCUCGGACACGUUGGUUUUACAAUGGCGCAGGGUCAGCGUCCAGCUUACACCAGUGUAAGAAUCUGGAUCCACCCAAUUGAGAUGAUACUUGACCCGGAUGGUUGGAUUUCUGCUGUCAGUACCAAAUCCACAGGUCUGUCGGCCCUGU